UACGUAGGUCGCAAGCGUUGUCCGGAUUUACUGGGCGUAAAGAGCGCGCAGGCGGCUGGUCAAGUCCGAUGUGAAAUCUCCCGGCUCAACUGGGAAACUGCAUCGGAAACUGAUCGGCUUGAAGAUGGGAGAGGGUAGUGGAAUUCCCGGUGUAGUGGUGAAAUAGCGUAGAUAUCGGGAGGAACACCAGUGGCGAAGGCGACUACCUGGCCUGUUUCUUGACGCUGAGGCGGCGAAAAGCUAGGGGAGCAAACGGGG
rnacentral:rRNA from 1 species